CCUGCCCGGGAACUACGAGCCCCAGCUUAAAACCCAAAGGACUUGGCGGUGCUUUAGACCCCCCUAGAGGAGCCUGUUCUAGAACCGAUAAUCCCCGUUAAACCUCACCCUCUCUUGUUUUCCCCGCCUAUAUACCGCCGUCGUCAGCUCACCCUGUGAAGGACUAACGGUGAGCAUAAUUGGUACCACCUAAAACGCCAGGUCGAGGUGUAGCGUACGAGAGGGGAAGAAAUGGGCUACAUUCACUGACUCAGUGAACCACGGAAGAUAUAUUGAAACAACCAUCUGAAGGAGGACUUAGCAGUAAGGGGAGAAAUAGAGUGUCCCCCUGAAACUGGCCCUGAAGCGCGCACACACCGCCCGUCACUCUCCCCAAAAACAAAAAUAAAUUAGAUAAAACGAUUAUAAAAUAAAGGGGAGGCAAGUCGUAACAUGGUAAGUGUACCGGAAGGUGCACUUGGAUAAAU
rnacentral:rRNA from 1 species